rnacentral:rRNA from 1 species
ACGUGGGUAACCUGCCUGUAAGACUGGGAUAACUCCGGGAAACCGGGGCUAAUACCGGAUGGUUGUUUGAACCGCAUGGUUCAAACAUAAAAGGUGGCUUCGGCUACCACUUACAGAUGGACCCGCGGCGCAUUAGCUAGUUGGUGAGGUAACGGCUCACCAAGGCAACGAUGCGUACCCGACCUGAGAGGGUGAUCGGCCACACUGGGACUGAGACACGGCCCAAACUCCUACGGGAGGCAGCAGUAGGGAAUCUUCCGCAAUGGACGAAAGUCUGACGGACCAACGCCGCGUGAGUGAUGAAGGUUUUCGGAUCAUAAAGCUCUGUUGUUAGGGAAAAACAAGUGCCGUUCAAAUAGGGCGGCACCUUGACGGUACCUAACCAGAAAGCCACGGCUAACUACUUGCCAGCAGCCGCGGUAAUACGUAGGUGGCAAGCGUUGUCCGGAAUUAUUGGCCGUAAGGGGCUCGCAGGCGGUUUCUAAAUUCAAUUGGGAAGGCC